ACCAAAAAAAAAGGAGGCAAAAUCUUAUUAAGUCAAUGUUACGCAAAUAUGACUUCAAUAUUGUACAUUAAACUGGAUUCAGACCAAAGUGAUUUUUUAUUAUCCUCUGUACAUCAUCAAAGUAGUAGUAUCUCUGGUAGUAUCAUUGAAGAUUUCUGUUCUGAUAAGUGUAGUUCCAGUGCUGAAAUUUCUUACAAUAUAGUAUUUAUAUAGGUAUUUAUAAUUAUUAGGUUCGAGAAUUAUCUAGACUUGGUGGUUCAGGAGUAGCACAAAGUACAAGGAAAAUGCUUUAUAAGGUUCUGGGCAAUGAAAUUGCACAAAAAUAUUCUUGGGAUGGGGCCAAAACAGAAGAGAAGUUUGAAAUCAUUGUUAGUGGCCAAAAGCAAUUUUAGACUCCAUGAAAGGUCAAUUUCAAGAGUCAAAAGAAACCGAAAUUAUCAAUAUAAUUAAAAUAUGGCUUGUAAAAAC